AGUGAACGCUGGCGGCGUGCUUAACACAUGCAAGUCGAACGAGAACGGAUUAUAGCUUGCUAUAAUUGUCAGCUAAGUGGCGCACGGGUGAGUAAUGUAUAGGUAAUAUGCCUCUUACUAAGGGAUAACAAAUGGAAACGUUUGCUAAUACCUUAUACUCCUUAUUAACAGAAGUUAAUAAGGGAAAGAUUUAUUGGUAAGAGAUUAGCCUGUAUUGUAUCAGUUAGUUGGUGGGGUAAUGGCUUACCAAGACUAUGACACAUAACUGGUUUGAGAGGAUGAUCAGUCACACUGGAACUGAGACACGGUCCAGACUCCUACGGGAGGCAGCAGUGGGGAAUAUUGCACAAUGGACGAAAGUCUGAUGCAGCAACGCCGCGUGGAGGAUGACACAUUUCGGUGCGUAAACUCCUUUUAUAUGAGAAGAUAAUGACGGAAUUAUAUGAAUAAGCACCGGCUAACUCCGUGCCAGCCGCCGCUGUAAGAC
rnacentral:rRNA from 1 species